rnacentral:rRNA from 1 species
UGAGCAAUCUGCCCUUCUCAUCGGAAUAAGCGUUGGAAACGACGUCUAAUGCCGAAUACGACCUCCUUUCGCAUGAUCGGAGGUGGAAAGCUCCGGCGGAGAAGGAUGAACUCGCGGCCUAUCAGCUAGUUGGUGUGGGUAAUGGCCCACCAAGGCGACGACGGGUAGCCGGCCUGAGGGGAGGUGACCGGCCACACGUGGGACUGAGACACGGCCCAGACUCCUACGGAAGGNAGCG